UUCUUCUGAGGGGGGAAAACUGGUCUCGGUACUGCAGAUGUGGUCUUGUACGUGGUGAACGUGCUUGGGUGGGCUCCCCUUAGCUUCAUGGCACUUGUCCUUUCAAAGAUAAAAUGAUGUGCUGGCAACGGCAGCCCCUGGGUGUGGGUGCAUCCGUGAUGCUUGACAGCCUUCAAUCAAUGCCAUCAGGUGUUUGGUUCUGGUGCUCUGGUCUCGUCCCACUCCUGGUGCCUUCAGGACGUGUCUUCAGCCAGCGUGGUCCUCUGCUGACACGAGUCAGAUCAACUCCACUGAAGCCAAAAGAACAACAACCUGCUGGGAUUUAUGAAUAAAUGCAAAUAAUGUUUGUUUGAUUUACUUCUCAGGCCUGGCCAGGAAACCUUCAAGUAGCAGCACUUUCCCUCCUAAGCAGGAAGGAGAAACUUCUCUCAGUAACCAAGAGCCACCUAGACCUGCUGGAAGCUUUUGGUGAUGAAAGAUCUGUGGAGGUCUCAGGAGCUAAAUGUAUUUUGGACGAAAUGCUGUUCCUCUCUGGAAAUCUCCUGCCUCCAAAUUCAUGGAUUUGCUCCUAAUGCCACUGAAAUUGUUUAAUGCAUUUAAAAUUCGUUUAAGUAGAUAAAGUGAGCUGGGAGAGUCAUUAAAAGACAGGGUUUUCCUUGACGGUAGUAAAAGAUUUGGGAACAGAUCCUGACUGGGCCUAACAACUGCAACCAGGUGAGAAAGUGGCCCGUGAGCUGGGAGACGGGAGAAAAUCAGCGCUGAGAAGAGGCACCUCAAAGCCCCAAAUAAAAGUCCCACAGGGCGCCCUGUGAUGGGGCAGGGAGCCCUCCCAAGCCUUAUGGGGUUGCAUCGGGGCUUUAUUUAACAAAAGCAGUCACAAACAGGGCCCAGGAUGGCUUUAUGUGCCAUCUAGUUCAGAGGCAGGGAGGGAGGGGGGGGAACAUAUAACAUUUUCUCUUGCCUCCCACAUAGGCUGAGUAAAGGGUGAGAGAUUUGCCUCAAAUAAUAUUCUCUCGCUGCUUCUCUGCUCUGAGCUUUAACCUUUCCAGAUUUUCCUAUUAAAACACUUGGAGGGGAAAAAACGAAACAAGGGCUUAAAAAAUAGGAGCCUUGUGACCUGUGACAGCCAGCCCUUCAGUGGUGUGGGAUGCCCCAGUGCUGGAUUUGGGAUGUGGGUGAUUGCAGUGGCCUCUUUGAGGUCUGUCAUUACUGAAAGUCCUCUCCCUUCUUCUGUUCUUUAGGUUAUAGCACCCGUGUGGCUCAGCCUGCCCUUGCUGCUGUCCCCUUGCCUGUCUAACCUGCUUUUCAUUUGUCCCCAGUGUCUCCAGGAUGUUUUUUUGUCUUUAGCUCCCACUUUUCAAGACCGAGCUAAACGCAUGAUUUUGGCAUUGCUGUUUAGUGAGUGUCUCACUUGGACUCUGCUCGAGUUUCUACAUCUUCACAACAGGGCUGACACUAAUUGCCCAUUUGCAAUGUAUUUCCAGACGCGUGGCUGCAGAGUGCUAUAUGAAAAAACAGGCAUUGUUAUUAUGAAACUUUCAGGAAAAAAAAAAAAUUAAUAGAUUCAAAUAACUCCAUGGUCAUUAAAACAAACCUUAUGUGGAUGGAGGAGACCAGAGCUGAAUAAACCUUGAGCAAACACAGCCUUUCAAUAUGAAACACACACUGGUUUUAAUCAGCGGUGCCAAAUAAGUUUUAUUUUCCGAGGUUUCUUUUCCCCUCAUCUCCUUCUUUCAAUAUUAUCAGUUGCAGAAGGGGAACAUUGCCCGGCUCCUGCUCUUAAUGAGUAUCAUUUUUAAAAAAACAACAACAAAAUGCUCUGCUUGGGCUGGCCAGGUCUCAAGUUGCUUUCGGCUCCACUAGGAUCUCAGCCAGCCUUUGUGAGCGUGUUGUCCCGAGUUUAAAGCACCUCUAUUUUUCCCCAGAUUUUGGACAAAAUUGGGUUCAAAGCCCCAUCAGCCAGGAGGGGAGCGCCGCCGACCACCGCCUUGCGUUCGCUUCCUUUAGGGCAGCCACGAAGCCAUUUUUCAUCCUGCCUCACCAAAGCCUCUCCUGUGUUUGUUUGGGAGACAGAAAUAGCUUUCUGCUAGGAGGAUGAUGAGGUUACACAUCCUGAGCCGUCACGGUGAAUCAACAGCCUGGAGCGGGGAGCUGCUGGGGCUGCCGGCUGCCUGCAAGGCGGGGAGUGGGAAUGGCCCUUGGAGGGGAGCGCGGUGUCCUUGGGGACGUCUCGGGGCUUUUUGGUGCCCUGGCUCCUCCACGAGGCCCUGAGGAAAAGGGAACGUGCCUUCUGACUUUAUCCUGCUAUUCUCACACCAAAUCCAAGCUCAUCUCUGGGGGAGGAAUUUGGAGGCAGCAGCUUGUACGCUGCAAAGGCUGGGAGAAAACGGUGCAGCCAGCUCCUUGCUAACACACACCUAAUUUUUAGUAAAAGCUGUGAUGUCUGCACACAGGUUGGUUUGUAGGUGCUCAGUUCAGCAGCAAGGCUAACAGCUGAUGAUCGCAGAGGUCUUUUCCAACCUAAAUGCUUCUACGCCUUGCAAUGAGAUAGUGGAGGAGAGCUUUUGGGUGACACAUGGCUCAGGCUCAUUCCUGCAUGGGAAGCCCUGAGCCUCCUUUCCCUGUCUGGAAUAAACGAGCACCCUCCUGCUGAUGCCAUCAGGCCCUGUGACCACGAGCUAGGCUCAGAUGUGCUCUCGGUGGCUGCAGCAGCACAAAGUUGUGUAAUUCAUUGGCAAAAGUGCCUGAGCGUCUUGUUCCCUGCUAGUGGGUUUAGGUCCAAAUCAGUAGUGGUAUUUUUUUCACCUUCUUCUUUGUAAUUUCACCAGAUUGUAGACGUAGUGUAGACAUGAUUCCAUGUAAAUAUAUUUUGUCCUUAACUAAGCUGAGGCCAUCGGGCUGCAUUUGUUGCUGGUGAAGAUUGUGAAUGGAGACGUGCAGUAAAUUCUAAGCAGCUGCCAGCUCCUGGUGAUGCUGAGCUCCCCGCUUCUCAGCUCAGCUGGCCAACGUUUCUGUGCUAAAACCGGUGAUGUUGGGUUCAGAUAUAACCCAGCCUGAGGUCUCUAACAGUGGCACAGACAUUCCCUGUCAACAAAUACUCUCAAACAGUGACGACAGUGCCCUAAAGCAAUUUCCUUCUGAAGCUGCUGGAGGUGAUGGCUGACUCAUAAAAGCUUGGGAGCCUCCAGAUUCCUUGGCUGGGUGGGAUGUCCUGCUGCUCCUCUGAGGGUCUCGUGCUUGGGCAGGACUUUGUGUCCUGUCAACUCAGAGGAUCAACGAGUGGGUGGUGGCCGGGCUAGGCUGAGCAAGAGAGACAAGGGAAUAGCAGAGACCAGGAACUGACCUGGUGACGUAGCAGUAGGAUGAGCUCUGGAUUUUGCAAGAAAAGGCAUAUUCCUUUCCUCAUUGUUUCUAAUUUUAUUUUAUUUUUUUAUUUAUUUUAUUUUAUUAUUUUAUUUUAUUUUAUUAUUUUAUUUUAUUUUAUUUUAUUUUAUUUUAAUUUAAUUUUGUUUU